AACAAAUGUCGGUACUGCAGCCCCGGCCAGACAGGAUCAGGCGGACGGUAACGCGGAGCGGUGGGCGCGGCAGUGAGGGUGACAUCAUGAAAGCAUGGGGUAGGAAAACGUGAUACUCUUUAAGAGUAUCUUUUGUACUUCUGGAGUACUUUUGGAGUACUUUUGGAGAAGCAUGUUGUCUGUAUACCUUCGCUUGGGAUGAGGAACAGUGACAUGCAAGGCUACAUGUCUAGGAACUGGAACAGAGAACUGGAACACACCUGUGUAUCCUCUCUGGGGGAGGACACCCAAGUGAUCGGUGUUACAGGAGAGAAAGGGAGGGGAGAAAGAAGAAGAACCAUGUCUGAGCAGUCAAAUUCUCCUGGCAGCGCUGACAGCAGGAGCUGCACAGCAAAGAACUAAACGAGGAGGCUGGGCCAAAGGGAGAAAGAGGAAGAAACCCCUUAGGGACACCAGUGCCACCCAGCCCCACCUCACAGGGUAUAUGCGAAUCAUGCAUGAGCAUAGAGAGCAACUUUGAGUGAAGAGGCCUGAAGUCCCUUUCCCAGACAUCACCAGGAUGAUGGGCAGUGAAUGGAGUAAACUGCCUCCUGAGGAGAAGCAGGUACCAUUAAACUCCCUUUUCCUUGUUGGAUUAUGACUGCUGUUAAAUGGGAAUAUCGUUGUUUAGUGAGGAAGUUAAAACAUAGGCUUUUGAUUAAAGACUCAAAGGAACCAGUGUCCUCCCUGGAUCACGUCUGCCGGCCCACCUUUGGCAGGGAUUUAAGCCUGGACUUGGGCUAGGUGCUUGCAGCGUAGGGAUUGUGCUUAAAGAGCUUUGUGGGGCUGCAGUCAAAGGGUUCUGCUAAGCUGGAUGUUUAUGAAGGUCCUGAGGUGUUGCUGCUCCCUGCAGCCUGCAUGAAGUU